GACGAACGCUGGCGGCGUGCUUAACACAUGCAAGUCGAACGGAAAGGCCCUGCUCUUGUGGGGUGCUCGAGUGGCGAACGGGUGAGUAACACGUGAGUAAACUGCCCUUGACUUUGGGAUAACUUCAGGAAACUGGGGCUAAUAUCGGAUAGGAGCUCCUGCUGCAUGGUGGGGGUUGGAAAGUUUCGGCGGUUGGGGAUGGACUCGCGGCUUAUCAGCUUGUUGGGGGGGUAGUGGGUUACCAAGGCUUUGACGGGUAGCCGGCCUGAGAGGGUGACCGGCCACAUUGGGACUGCGAUACGGCGCAGACGCCGACGGUAGGCAGCAGUGGGGAAUAUUGCGGAAUGGGCGGACGCCUGAUGCGGCAGCGCCGCGUGCGGGAUGACGGCCUUCGGGUUGUAAACCGCUUUCGCCUGUGACGAGGCGUGAUUGACGGUAAUGGGUAAAGAAGCACCGGCUAACUACGUG
rnacentral:rRNA from 1 species